rnacentral:misc_RNA from 1 species
GGCUCCGGGUGAUCCACCCUUUGUGACCUUUCUUGUUGCUUCGGGGGCGACCCUGCCGCUUCGCGGUGCGGCGCCCCCUGAGGCCAUCUUUUCUGCAUCAUUGCGUCGAGAAAAGUAAAUGAAAAAAAACUUUCAACAACGGAUCGCUUGGGUCCAGCAUCAAUGAAGAACGCAACGAAAUGCAAUAAGGAAUGUGAAUUGCAUAAUUCAAUGAAUCAUCGAAUCUUUGAACGUGCAUUGCCCCCUCUGGCAUUCCGGGGGGCAUGCCUGUUCGAGCGUCAUUUCACCACUCAAGCCUGGCUUGUUAUUGGGCGUCGCGGCGCCGCGCGCCUUAUAGUCUUCCGGCUGAGGUGUCCGUCUCUAAUCGUUGUGGCAACUAUUCGCUUCGGAGGCCCGGCGGCCGCAGGCGUUAGAUCUUUCACAGG